GUGUGUUUGUCCAUGAGGAGCUGCUGCUUUGUGUCCCAAGUUCAGAUGGUCAUGACCUCUGCCCUCCAUGCCUUCACCCUAUUGGCUGACCUCACACUGCGACCUCUUUGGGGGACACUAUCUGUAAGUCACCUGUAAACUCGUUACCAUUCCAUUUAUUCCAUUACUGAGCCCGUCCUCCCCGGUUAAGGUGCCACCAGCCACAUUUUGCUGAAAGUAUAAGCGACACAGAGCUUCGUGUUCAUUAAACUAACUUGACCUUUAACCUGUCACACCCCCUUCUCCCUGUAGCUGUGAGGAGGUAGAGGGGGCCGAUGAGGAGGAGACGGUGUACCACAUUAAAUGCCCGAGACUUCGCGUUCCCGUUGUCAAAGAGACAGUCCUGUAACGACAAGGACCCCUAUGUGCUAGGCCUGAGGUCUGUAACCGUGGAAACAUCUCCCCCUGACCUCGCCUUCUGGAUGAUAGCGGGCUGAACAGGCAGUGGCUCGGGUGGUUGUUGUCCUUGACGAUCGUUAGCCCUCACAAUUCAGAGACAAUGUGUUAAAACCAUGUGUUCCAGGUGUGUUACCACAACCAGGUGACGUCAGGCGUGUUACCACAACCAGGUGACGUCAGGCGUGUUGCCACAACCAGGUGACGUCAGGCGUGU